CAGGCUAGAGUGUNUCAGAGGGGGGUAGAAUUCCACGUGUAGCAGUGAAAUGCGUAGAGAUGUGGAGGAAUACCGAUGGCGAAGGCAGCCCCCUGGGAUAACACUGACGUUCAUGCUNGAAAGCGUGGGUAGCAAACAGGAUUAGAUACCCUGGUAGUCCACGCCCUAAACGAUGUCAAUUAGCUGUUGGGCAACUUGAUUGCUUAGUAGCGUAGCUGACGCGUGAAAUUGACCGCCUGGGGAGUAUGGUCGCAAGAUUAAAACUCAAAGGAAUUGACGGGGACCCGCACAAGCGGUGGAUGAUGUGGAUUAAUUCGAUGCAACGCGAAGAACCUUACCUGGUCUUGACAUGUACGGAAUCUUCCAGAGACGGGAGAGUGCCUUCGGGAACCGUAACACAGGUGCUGCAUGGCUGUCGUCAGCUCGUGUCGUGAGAUGUUGGGCUAAGUCCCGCAACGAGCGCAACCCUUGUCAUUAGUUGCCAUCAUUCAGUUGGGCACUCUAAUGAGACUGCCGGUGACAAACCGGAGGAAGGUGGGGAUGACGUCAAGUCCUCAUGGCCCUUAUGACCAGGGCUUCACACGUCAUACAAUGGUCGGUACAGAGGGUAGCCAAGCCGCGAGGUGGAGCCAAUCCCAGAAAACCGAUCGUAGUCCGGAUUGCACUCUGCAACUCGAGUGCAUGAAGUCGGAAUCGCUAGUAAUCGCAGGUCAGCAUACUGCGGUGAAUACGUUCCCGGGUCUUGUACACACCGCCCGUCACACCAUGGAAGUGGGGGAUACCAGAAGUAGGUAGGCUAACCGCAAGGAGGCCGCUUACC
rnacentral:rRNA from 1 species